rnacentral:misc_RNA from 1 species
GUGAAUCAUCGAAUCUUUGAACGCACAUUGCGCCCCUUGGUAUUCCGAGGGGCAUGCCUGUUCGAGCGUCAUUACAACCCUCAAGCACUGCUUGGUAUUGGGCCCCGCUGGUUUCAGCGGGCCUUAAAAUCAGUGGCAGCGCCGUCUGGGCUCUGAGCGUAGUAAAUAUCCUCGCUAUAGAGACCAGGCGGUUCUUGUCAUCAACCCCCAACUUUCUAAGUUUGACCUCGGAUCAGGUAGGGAUACCCGCUGAACUUAAGCAUAUCAAUAAGCGGAGGA